rnacentral:rRNA from 1 species
UACGUGAGGGUGCAAGCGUUAAUCGGAAUUACUGGGCGUAAAGCGUGCGCAGGCGGUGAUGUAAGACAGAUGUGAAAUCCCCGGGCUCAACCUGGGAACUGCAUUUGUGACUGCAUGGCUAGAGUACGGCAGAGGGGGAUGGAAUUCCGCGUGUAGCAGUGAAAUGCGUAGAGUAUGCGGAGGAACACCGAUGGCGAAGGCAAUCCCCUGGGCCUGUACUGACGCUCAUGCACGAAAGCGUGGGAGCAAACAGG